UCCUCGAUCCCCAGUUCCCCACAUCCCUCCUCCCCACCAAUCCCCCAUUCUCCCCGCACCCCUCCUCCGCACCCCGCGUCGGGCCGCCGCCGUUUCUCUAUAGCCCUCUCUUCUCGGUCUGCUCGUAAAGGUCGGCCACGAGGAGGUUCACCGGUCCGUUCGUCGUCCUUGUCCCUAGGCGUCUGUUGCUAGAGAGAAGGACGCCAAGGCCCAGCAGUUUGUGACGGCCCCAACGGACGACGGACCCGGCGGGACAGCGGGCUCUAGCUUUCUCUCCCUUCUUCUUCAUCUGGACAGAGAAUGACUCUGCUCAAAUGCAUAGUCAGGCAACACCGGAGAGAGCUGGGACGGAGGCGACUCUGAGGAAGAUGAAGGCCAAGAGCGGUGCCGCCGCAGGGGAGAGGAGGCUGGUGUUCUCGAGGACGGUACUGCUCCUCUACGCCUGCAGCUUCGUCCUUGGCGUGCUCUUCACCGACCGGUUCAGAGCGAUGCCUGAUUUAAAGAGCCAGGUGGUGGUGCAGCUGUGGUGACAGGAAGAGGAGCUACACAUCGUUUCUGAAGAUUUUGUUGCCAAGAUGAAACCAUCUGACGACAGGGACGUGAUGGGGAAGUGGCAAAGACUCAUGAGGCCAUACAACAAGUCGAUCGCCACGCUGCAGAUGGAGCUGGCAGCGCGGUGCAGCAAGCAUGAGCUGCUUAAGAGUGCGGAUGACAAGGCAGGAAAGGAAAAAGGCUUUUGUGGUGAUUGGGAUCAAUACCGCCUUCAGUAGCAAGAAGCGCCGUGAUUCUGUCAGGGAGAGAUGGAUGCCUCAAGAUGAGAAACUCAAGAAAUUGGAAGAGGAAAAGGGAGUCGUCAUUUGAUUUAUGAUUGGGCAUAGGGUUUAAAAUGUGAGUAUGAUGUGCGUGGAGAGAUUGUCAUCCAUGCCCAGGUAUUUCAAGUGACCAACAAGUGCUAUUUCAGUAAUUUGAAAUCUCCUGUAUUCAGAGUUUAGUCAACUCUUAGUCAUGUUCUUUAACAAUCACUAUGUCUAAUAAAUGUUUAGUACGAUGCACUAUUUUUCUGAAUUUUGACAAGCAAGUGCAUCUUUGGUUGCGCCGAUCGGAUCGGAUUCGAUGCGUACAUGGAAUUGAUGGGCUGCUGACCGCUUCAUCUGGUGUUUCCUCUCUCGUGUGAGGUGCAUGUUGUUUUGAGAGCUUGAAGCAGCAGAAAGCCGAUGGAGGGUCUUAGGGAUGACGAAAGCGUCAGUGACGACAUCAGGCGAGAGAGAUAUCGAGACUGCAAAUCGCUUUCCUGUUUUUGCAUUUCUUACUGUUUAUGUAACUUUGUCAGUAUUCAGAUCAUAUAGCCUAUGGGGAGCAGUGUAAAACAUAAUUUGUUGAUGCUUAAAAUUUGGAGUGAUAUGUUUGAUACAUCUGCACUGUUGACAUGGUCUUCUUUAAUGAAUAACAAGGUGGUCCAGUAGAAUUGUAACUUUAGAGCCCUGCAAAUUGUCUGUGCAAAUUAUGAUGCUGGUUUAUAGAACUAAAUUUGUGGCGUGCCUCUAUUUUAUCUUUAGUUGUAGGUUUCUCCGAAGCUUUAUUGUGGGUUGUGUUACUUGCCAAACAAGUUCUAAGCACAAGUCAGAUCCUUUCAUGGCUACCCUUAUAAGAUGAUAUACAAGGAAGUUUGUUGCUUAGUGUAAUUAGACAAGUGCUUGGAUUAUUCUGUAGUGAAAUAAUGUGAUUUUUCAUCUUCUUUCUGUUCUUAGAUCAGCUCACCUUUGGCCUUAGCCAUACAAAGUAAUUUGUGAAGAUAUAUGUUCCUUAAUUUGAUCCCACCUUCCCUGAUUAAACAUAUGUCAUUAAUCGAUUUGAUUAUUGUAUUAGUGUCUCUUAAGUUCGCUGGAAUCGCUUGAUGUUUCCUUUGAAUUUAGAAGAAGAGAUUCCAGCCAUAAGAUUCUUAAGUUCGUUGGCUCUGCGGCCGCAUCAUGGCAAGACGGCCACAAGGCAGCUAUUGCUUCCAGGCACACAAAGGCCACUGAUUGGAUCAGCGCGAAGAAACCCGUUCGGAUUGCCGCCGCAAGCCUCGCGUCAACAACAAAUCAACGUCUGCACCUACAUCCACUUCGACAGGCCGUCAGUCAAAGCAGAAAUUGCAGGAUGUUAUCUGCAUCAAUGAUGAUAGCGGAUCUUCUGAAUCACUUCCUCAGCUUAACAAUGUAAGCUCACUCCAGCAACACAGGAAAUACAAACCAGCUGUUAUCAACAUCAGUGACGGCAGUAAUGAUGGCGGGUCUUCUGAAUCACUUCCUCAGCUUAACAAUGUAAUCUCACUCCAGCGACGCAGCAAAUACAAACCAGCUGUUAUCAACAUCGGUGAUGGUAGUGGCCCUUCACAUCAUCGCAAGAAAGCCAGCAAAGACAAGCAAAAGAAGCACACAUCCGAUGGGGAACCCGGCUGGAAGCUUUGAUGAUCAUUGCGCAUGGGGUAACAAAGUGAAGCUUUACAAAGAUCAAGUCAGAAAAUUGAAGCGUCUCAUCGCUGCAAAAAAAUCACACAUCAAUUGUUACAUUUGCCACAUGAGCCUUCAAGUACCUCCGGAAGUAUACCAUGCAAGCAUUAUGCGACAGUGACACUGCUUAUUCGUAUGUUCACACCUUCUGAAAACCAGUCAGACUAAGAAGAUGACUAAAUAAGCUCUACAACUGCCUAUGUAUGUGUUUCUGUAAAACGAUCUACCUCACUCUACUAUCUCUGAUAAAUUCACAUUGCAUUA